rnacentral:rRNA from 1 species
GAUGAACGCUGGCGGCGUGCUUAACACAUGCCAGUCGAACGGUGAACACGGAGCUUGCUCUGUGGGAUCAGUGGCGAACGGGUGAGUAACACGUGAGCAACCUGCCCCUGACUCUGGGAUAAGCUCUGGAAACGGCGUCUAAUACUGGAUAUGUGACGUGACCGCAUGGUCUGCGUUUGGAAAGAUUUUUCGGUUGGGGAUGGGCUCGCGGCCUAUCAGCUUGUUGGUGAGGUAAUGGCUCACCAAGGCGUCGACGGGUAGCCGGCCUGAGAGGGUGACCGGCCACACUGGGACUGAGACACGGCCCAGACUCCUACGGGAGGCAGCAGUGGGGAAUAUUGCACAAUGGGCGGAAGCCUGAUGCAGCAACGCCGCGUGAGGGAUGACGGCCUUCGGGUUGUAAACCUCUUUUAGCAGGGAAGAAGCGAAAGUGACGGUACCUGCAGAAAAAGCGCCGGCUAACUACGUG